rnacentral:lncRNA from 1 species
UGAGGUUCGUAUUGAGAUUCUUAUAUUUCUUAAUAAAUAUAUUUUAGAUAUAGUAAUAGAUGAGUUGUUUUACCCUAAUAUGGGGCAAUGCAUGAAUGAUGUGUGCCAUUCUUAUUUUUCUUAUUGUUGUGCCAAUUAUCAUAUGAGGUUGGAAAAUUUCUCAAUUCAUGGUUUCCAGGGACAUGGAGCUGUAUGAAGAGGGGCUACAUCAUCUGCUAUUUUAUGGUAAGACGGUUGAAUGUUUCGAGUUGAUUGAUUGUUUUAGAAUUAUGCGAGUAAAUAUAUUUGCAAGCGAAAAUAAAAGAAUUACAACAUUGAACAUCAGUGGCUGUCCUCAUGUAAAAAAUAUUGAGAAUGAUGCUCCCACCCUUCAAUGCAUUUACUAUUGUUGGGUUAUGAUUAAAUUCAAUGCACUUAGUUUGUGUCAUAGAAUGAGACCGAUUUCGUCAUUUUUUGUAGAAACAUAAGUAGUCAAUAACGAGCUAUCGAACUGGGAUAGCGGUGUUGCGGUGGUUGCCUGCCCUUCCAUGUGAUGCAAGGGCGUGUAGCAGCGCAGAUGGCUGUUGCGCCUUCCGCAAGUCAGAGAGCAAUGACCUUGCUGGCACAAUCCGGGUCAUAACCUGCUCCAACAAGGUUGUGCGAAGAACCCUGACUUUUGAAGGGGAAAACCCUUUUUGCUGUUAUUUUUUAAUAUGUGGUAUGGUUUUUUAGGGUUUUGGGUGUUUAGCCCUCUCUCUUUUUCCCUAUUCUAUAGAAAAUGUGAAUAAGCUCUGCAAUUUUUGGCCACUCACUCUCAUCUCAACCUCCCACAUACAUACUUAUGGGAAAUUCAUCUUCCCCUCACUUACUUUCUCACAUACUCACUUCUUGGACAAAUAUGACCUCAUCUCAACCUCCCAUUGUCACACCACUCCUAGUGUUGUCAAAACUUAAAGAGUAUAACUUAUUUAAACUUUUAGUAUGUUCGUGUAUUUUCCUCCUUAGUUUUAGCGGCCAUCCCGUCACCUCCUAUCUCGCUAAUCGCUAGUGUUUUUUGGGUUGGCCGCUAUGGUCCGCUAUCCGCAAUUGAUUACUUAGCUUGAAAUAAUUUGCAUCCUUCUAUUCUGAAAAGUUCUUAAAUUCUUCACACAUGGUGCUUUGCAGUAUUCAUUUAUGAUUAGAUAAUGACUAACUUUAUGGAGUUUAAGUCGAUUCUAAAAUUGUGUGGGACUAGGCUAUGUGAAGAGUAAAGUAUGACAAGAGUUACUUCUAGAGAAUAGCCAAAACUGUUAAAAGGCUACCACAAUUGCAUUUUUUGCAUGGCAACUUAUUACAAAUGGGAAUUGUUUUUUCUUCUUCAAAUGUUAAGUGUUAUAUAUUGUAUUCUUGUAGGAUAAAUUCAACUUGAAAUGGACCUGUAGUAUGAACUGGUCUGCAUGAAUCCUUUGACAUAAUUGGUUGGUGCUUUAUACUACAUUACUAGGUGUUACCAGCCAAAGGAUUUUUACCGACCAAUUUAUCCAACUGCACAAAAUCAAGUUGAAAUUCUCCCCCAAGUUAACAAUAAAAGUUGUCAUUUGAAAAAGAAGAAAAAACCAUUCUCAUUUGUAGGAAGUUUUGGUGUUCAAAUGCUUUACAUCAGUGGCAUUUUCUUAACUCAUUUAAUUCCUAGCACCAACUAUUUGUCAUACUUUCCUCUUCUAGUUGUCCAAAAGUCUCCAGACCAUUUCAGAAUUAGGAUUACUUAAUAAUAAAGUUUAACAAGUCUAAUCAUAAAUUAAUGCAACAAAGUGACAUAUGUGAGGAAUAAAAAGGAUUUUCCAGAAUAGAAUGAUGCAAAUAAUUUCUAGAAGAAGAAAAAAGAUGAAGGUGGCUUCAUUUUGGUGGUACAUCAAUCUCAAUUUUCAUAUCACACGGUUGCUCCAAAUAUGCUCACUCACUUAGUUCCUACACAACAAUCAAAGUCUAGAAUCUUAAUCAUACAUUGAACAUGACAUUCCUGAGCAGAUUUUGGAAAAUUUCUAAAAUAGGUGUACACGUAAUUCAAACAUGGGAGUAAAGUGUCUCGUGGAGUUAAGUUAUCUUAUCUAACCACUAAAAACAUGUGUCAUAACUAACUAUUUUUUACAAAAAUACUUUUAGUGGUUAGAGGAGGUAGUUUAUUUUUUUUUAAAUAUUGUAAAGUUUUAAGAUUUUCAAUGUUGGGAAUUCUAGGAAUUGAGGAACAAGGGCAUAACCACAGUGAAAGAAAUUGAAGUCAAGUUCUUGGUUAAUUUUGAAUGUAUAUUUUGAGCCAUUUUUCAAAGAUGCAAUAGAAUUUUCCACUAUCUCCACCAUGUUCAUGAGAUUAAGCAAAAAGUAAUUUGCGGUUAGGAUUCUUGAAUCAUGCAGAGACAGUGCAAGCUAUCUAUUGCAUCUAUGAACCAAACUGGUGUUGAAGAAUUGAUUUAAAAAUGACUCAAAAUAUUUGUUUUAAAAGAUUCCAAGAACUCAAGUUUAGUUUAUUUUCAAGGUGAAUCCAUCCUUCUUGAAUUCAUAGUAAAUUAAACAUUGAAAGUUUUAAAGCUUUCUAACCAAUGUUAUAAGGGUUACACUGCUCGGUUUGCUUAUGAGACUUGCAAAUGAUUCUGGUUUGCAGUCUUAAUUGAAGUAGAGGUGCGGCAGCUUUGAAUGUGAACAUUAUGAUCUCAUUGUCUUAAACGUGCUUAAACUAGAAUAGCUCGAGAAGCAAACUAGAUAUUUCGGUUAAAAUUUGAAAACAAGGUCGAGCACUUCUUUACUAUUUUGAUUUAUUCGGCAUAAAAAUAUAAGUGGAGAGAUAUUACUUCAAUACAAGAAUAUAUAUAAUUAUGUAUUUAUAUAUAAUGAUGUAUGUAUACAUGAUUAUUCAUUAUAUGUGAUGUCAUUAAAUCCAACCUAAUAGUUUAGCUAAUUAACCUUAACUCGAGAUCUUUUAUGAUUUGAUGUUUGACUCGAGUUUCAUAAUAUUGGUUUAAAUGGCGGUGCCACCUAUGAUAAAAGGAUGGUAAAAUCUACUGGAUAUGGCUUGAUGGGGGAUAUGGAGCUGUGUGAAGUUGAUCUGGAGCAUUAAAAGGCUUGCUCCUUCUCCUUUUCAAGAGAUCAUGAAUUAAUGUAGCAACAAAGAGUGAGACGUAUCCACAAUUUUGUAUAUGAUUGCAGAAGUUUUAUAUUGUUAUUACCCCAUUACAUUUUAUUCUCACAAUUUUUAAGCUGAACUUAUCAUUAUUUUAGUGUCCAAAUGUUAAGAGGAAUGGCAUUUUUGUAGCCCAUUCAAUUCUCUGGCCUCAACUACUUGCCACAUACAUCACAUAUUUGGAGUUGUUCUUUGUGGUUUUUCUCUAUGUAUCAAUACUCAAUAGUGUGUGAGAAAGUAAAAG